rnacentral:rRNA from 1 species
UACGAAGGGGGCUAGCGUUGCUCGGAAUCACUGGGCGUAAAGGGGUGCGUAGGCGGGGUUUUUAAGUCAGAGGUGAAAAUCCUGGAGCUCAACUCCAGAACUGCCCUUUUGAUACUGAAAAGUCUUGAGUAUGGGAGAGGUGAGUGGAACUGCGAGUGUAGAGGUGAAAUUCGUAGAUAUUCGCAAAGAACACCAGUGGCGAAGGCGGCUCACUGGC